UACAGAGGGUGCAAGCGUUGUUCGGAAUUAUUGGGCGUAAAGCGCGUGUAGGCGGCUUUGCAAGUCAGAGGUGAAAGCCUGGAGCUCAACUCCAGAACUGCCUUUGAAACUGCAUCGCUAGAAUCAUGGAGAGGUUAGUGGAAUUCCGAGUGUAGAGGUGAAAUUCGUAGAUAUUCGGAAGAACACCAGUGGCGAAGGCGACUAACUGGACAUGUAUUGACGCUGAGGUGCGAAAGCGUGGGGAGCAAACAGG
rnacentral:rRNA from 1 species